AUGGAAAUGAUGAAGAAGAAGAAGGCAACAAUGAUGAAGUUAGCUUUGAUGCUUUUCUUAGUAGGCUUCAUCGCGACCGUCGAUGCUCGCAUCGAUGGAACAUCGUUCAUAACUCAAGUUCUUUCCAAGGAUGUUAAAUCAACAACAACAGCAUGCUGUGAUUCCUGCCCUUGCACAAAAUCAAUCCCUCCUCAGUGUCAGUGUAAUGACAUUGGAGAAACAUGUCACUCAGCUUGCGAAAGUUGCUUUUGCACAAAGACUUUUCCUCCACGGUGCCAUUGCCUUGAUAUUACUGACUUCUGCUAUGAACCAUGUAGCUACUAG